rnacentral:rRNA from 1 species
GACGAACGCUGGCGGCGUGCUUAACACAUGCAAGUCGAACGGAAAGGCCCUGCUUUUGUGGGGUGCUCGAGUGGCGAACGGGUGAGUAACACGUGAGUAACCUGCCCUUGACUUUGGGAUAACUUCAGGAAACGGGGGCUAAUAUCGGAUAGGAGCUCCUGUUGCGGGGAGGGCGGUGGAAAGUCUCGGCGGGUGGGGAUGGACGAGCGGCUAAUGAGCUUGUUGGUGGGGGAGUGGCUUACCAAGGCUGUGACGGGUAGCCGGCAGGGGAGGGUGACCGGCCACAUGGGGACUACGAUACGGCGCAGACUCGAACGGGGGGCAGCAGUGGGGAAUCUUGCACAAUGGGCGGACGCCUGAUGCAGAGACGCCGCGUGCGGGAUGACGGCCUUCGGGGUGUAAACCGCUUUAGCCUGUGACGAAGCGUGAGUGACGGUAAUGGGUAAAGAAGCACCGGCUAACUACGUG